GUGAAUAAAAUUGUACAGCUGCACAAUGAAAGUCUUAUUUAGAAACAGCUUUACAAUAAAAGCUGUAGCUUCUAGAACAGUGAUGAGCAACUUAUAAGCAAUACAUGUCAGCUGCAUUGCUGUUUAUUUAUUUAUUUUUUUUGCAGCCCCCAGGUUUAGGUGAAACUGUAGCACUGAAAUGGGGCAGCAAACUGAUGCAAAAUGAACACUUUCCUGAGGAUUUUCAACAGAAAACAAAGCGAAAGACUUAGCUUACUUUAAAAAGGAGGAACGUCGCUGAAACCAUCAGGAUACUCGGAGGAUGCAGAUGUCAUUACCAGAGGGCUAUAAAAAAAAUCACCUACAGUAUCUCUAUUACUAUUUGCUCCCUGGCUUUGUGAUAAGAAGAGUGGGUUUUCAACAACGCUGCCACAGGAAAAUGAUUCAGGAAGGAGGGAGAAACCAGUGAAUGUGAUGUCGUAUUUUUACAAUAUAGUCUGGGAUGUUCCUUUACUACCAUUUUUAUGUGGUGGCAAGGCCCCGGAGCUUGUACUCCAUAUUGUGGAAACUAAUGAUCCACUACUCAACCGCCUGGCAAUGAUGUUCACGAUCUUGCGGUAGGCAAACUGACUGGCUGUUGCGGUCGGCUGCCUACCCCAGUUUAGAAAAAGGGACAAUCUACAUGUUUUGCUUAUGGAAGAUCCGAAUGGGUGAUGAUUCUUCUAAAAGAAAAGGCACAAAGGGAAUAUUUGUACAUGAGCAUCCAGGUGUUAAUACAGGCAGUCCUUAACUUA